rnacentral:rRNA from 1 species
GAUGAACGCUGGCGGCGUGCCUAAUACAUGCCAGUCGAGCGAACAGACGAGGAGCUUGCUCCUCUGACGUUAGCGGCGGACGGGUGAGUAACACGUGGAUAACCUACCUAUAAGACUGGGAAACUUCGGGAAACCGGAGCUAAUACCGGAUAAUAUAUUGAACCGCAUGGUUCAAUAGUGAAAGACGGUUUUGCUGUCACUUAUAGAUGGAUCCGCGCCGCAUUAGCUAGUUGGUAAGGUAACGGCUUACCAAGGCAACGAUGCGUAGCCGACCUGAGAGGGUGAUCGGCCACACUGGAACUGAGACACGGUCCAGACUCCUACGGGAGGCAGCAGUAGGGAAUCUUCCGCAAUGGGCGAAAGCCUGACGGAGCAACGCCGCGUGAGUGAUGAAGGUCUUCGGAUCGUAAAACUCUGUUAUUAGGGAAGAACAAAUGUGUAAGUAACUAUGCACGUCUUGACGGUACCUAAUCAGAAAGCCACGGCUAACUACGUG